GUACAGCAUCUGAUAGCAAUAGCAUUAGCACUGGUCUCUCCUCUGGGCCCCCAGGUAUAGCAUCUGAUAGCAAUAGCAUUAGCACUGGUCUCUCCUCUGGGCCCCUGCCAAGGUACAGCAUCUGAUAGCAAUAGCAUUAGCACUGGUCUCUCCUCUGGGCCCCUGCCAAGGUACAGCAUCUGAUAGCAAUAGCAUUAGCAUUGGUCUCUCCUCUGGGCCCCCAGGUACAGCAUCUGAUAGCAAUAGCAUUAGCACUGGUCUCUCCUCUGGGCCCACAGGUACAGCAUCUGAUAGCAAUAGCAUUAGCACUGGUCUCUCCUCGGCCCCUGCCAAGGUACAGCAUCUGAUAGCAAUAGCAUUAGCAUUGGUCUCUCCUCUGGGCCCCCAGGUACAGCAUCUGAUAGCAAUAGCAUUAGCACUGGUCUCUCCUCUGGGCCCACAGGUACAGCAUCUGAUAGCAAUAGCAUUAGCACUGGUCUCUCCUCGGCCCCUGCCAAGGUACAGCAUCUGAUAGCAAUAGCAUUAGCAUUGGUCUCUCCUCUGGGCCCCCAGGUACAGCAUCUGAUAGCAAUAGCAUUAGCACUGGUCUCUCCUCUGGGCCCCUGCCAAGGUACAGCAUCUGAUAGCAAUAGCAUUAGCACUGGUCUCUCCUCUGGGCCCCCAGGUACAGCAUCUGAUAGCAAUAGCAUUAGCACUGGUCUCUCCUCUGGGC